GAUGAACGCUGGCGGCGUGCCUAAUACAUGCAAGUCGAGCGAACAGACGAGGAGCUUGCUCCUCUGACGUUAGCGGCGGACGGGUGAGUAACACGUGGAUAACCUACCUAUAAGACUGGGAUAACUUCGGGAAACCGGAGCUAAUACCGGAUAAUAUAUUGAACCGCAUGGUUCAAUAGUGAAAGACGGUUUUGCUGUCACUUAUAGAUGGAUCCGCGCCGCAUUAGCUAGUUGGUAAGGUAACGGCUUACCAAGGCAACGAUGCGUAGCCGACCUGAGAGGGUGAUCGGCCACACUGGAACUGAGACACGGCCCAGACUCCUACGGGAGGCAGCAGUAGGGAAUCUUCCGCAAUGGGCGAAAGCCUGAGGGAGGACCGCCGGGUGGGUGAUGAAGGUCUUCGGUUCGGAAACCUCUUUUAUUAGGGAAGAAAAAAUGUGUAAGUAACUAUGCCCGUCUUGACGGUACCUAAUCAAAAAGCCCCGGCUAACUACGU
rnacentral:rRNA from 1 species